rnacentral:rRNA from 1 species
UUGAACGCUGGCGGAAUGCUUUACACAUGCAAGUCGAGCGGCAGCGCGGGGCAACCUGGCGGCGAGCGGCGAACGGGUGAGUAAUAUAUCGGAACGUGCCCAGUCGUGGGGGAUAACGCAGCGAAAGCUGUGCUAAUACCGCAUACGAUCUCUGGAUGAAAGCGGGGGACCUGCAAGGGCCUCGCGCGAUUGGAGCGGCCGAUAUCAGAUUAGCUAGUUGGUGGGGUAAAAGCUCACCAAGGCGACGAUCUGUAGCUGGUCUGAGAGGACGACCAGCCACACUGGAACUGAGACACGGUCCAGACUCCUACGGGAGGCAGCAGUGGGGAAUUUUGGACAAUGGGCGCAAGCCUGAUCCAGCAAUGCCGCGUGCAGGAUGAAGGCCUUCGGGUUGUAAACUGCUUUUGUACGGAACGAAACGGUUCUCUUUAAUAAAGAGGGCUAAUGACGGUACCGUAAGAAUAAGCACCGGCUAACUACGU